GCAGAGCCUGUAUGCAGUGCUAACCAGCCCUGGAGAGAGAUAAUGCUCCCAGUGAGGGUGUGGUCUCCAGAAAACAAAACAAAACAUUUUUGUUAUGAUGUUGGGAAUGAAACCCUGAUUGCUUUUGUGUUCUUGCCCAUGUAUCUUAAAGAAGCCUACCCAUCAAUGAGAUUUGCCAGCUUACCUUGAAAUCUUCCCAAUCAGUGAUAUCUUUUGAGAAAAAAACAACCUAUUCAAACCUACUCAGCAGUAGAAGAAAUCCAUAUAAGCUCCUUGAAUUCAUCAACCUAGCCUUUCUUUUUAAGUAUGGACAGAUGACCAAUGCUGAAACCAGGGGAAAAGCUACAGCACCAAAUAACAUAAGAAAGACGAAUAAAGAAAGCGAUAGACCAAAAGAAAUUAAAGUGAAAAUUCAGGUAAGAAAAUGAUUUUUUUCAAUUCUUAUUAAUAUCCUCAUAGAGAUUCAAAAAAAUUUAAGUACAAGGUUGUAUGCAAAAAGAGAAUAGGAAAAAAUAAUUGGAAAUUAAAAAUAUUUCCCCCCAAUUCAAUAAAAAGAUGAAUUUAAAAGUAGAACAACAAGACAAAACUAUACAAAAAAAAAAAAAAAAAAAAAAAAAAAAAAAAAAAAGGAAGAGAUGAAUGGGAGGGAGGGAAAAGGAAAAGGAACUGGAUUAUUAUAAUAAUGUGAUGAAGUGUUCAUGUUUCUUGCCUAAUACAAAAAAAAAAAAAAAAGGCAACUGGGAACUUUAGGAAAAAAACCCUAAGUCUUGUACAAGAAAGUCAUUUCCAUACAUAAAACAAAGUGAACUGUGUCAUGAAUCUGAUGAAUUAAUUUUACUUUGAUUCUUCAAUUAUUUUCUUUGGCAAAAUUUUCCUUACAUAGAAUUGCAUUUCUUUCUCCUGAGGUUCAAAUAUAGUACUUGAUUCUGCAGUGAAUAAUAUUGACCUAAUGAUAAUGUUCGAUUGGCUCUUUGUUUUUAAUUUUUCAAAUUAACCUCUAAACGAAGGUCAGAAUCUUUUAAAUAAAAGUUAUAAAUCAAGGACAUUGUGACUGUAAAUAUGAAUGCUUUGAAUACUGAUUAUUUAAAGGUCCUAGUAUAGCUGGCAAAGCUGGGAGUUGGGAGCAGAGAAGAGGUAAAGGAUAAGAUAGUGUUCUUAUUCCCUACUACACAGAGAAUUAAGGUAAUGUCUAAAAUAAUAAAACAAUAAAAGGAAUUUAAGUACAUUAUUUGAAAUUAUAUGAAAUUGUGAAAUAAUUCCCAUCAUAUGAUUUAUGUAACCAAUAAUAGAGGUAAAGAGUCAGAGUAACCAAUGACACCUGGAAGAAAGGGUAGGGAAAAAGUAAGAAGUAAUAUGAGGUGAAUUACUUAAUGGUCAUAGUGGAUCAUUGAGGGAUACCAGAGCUAUAUCAGUGGUAUUGAGAAUUAGAUGUAGCUGGCUUAACAUCAGCUACUCUAGCGGAUCCUAAUAGUUAUCUAAGUCUUUCUCCUGCACAUUUAUUAACAAGCUCAUUCUUCUAAAAUACAGUUCCCAAUGAGCCUGCUGAUUGAAUUUUUGAGAGAAUAAUUUAUACUGUUGAUUGGACAUAUAUAAGUUUAGGAAGGCAUGAAUGGACUUUGCCAAGAGUUUAUUAUGGUUAUUACGUGUUAAUGGUCACUGACUUGACUAAAUAUGUAACAGAUUGCCUUCUUUUGAACAUGAAAAGUAUAUCUGUGCAAAGUGGAAGCAAAAGACUAUAUGGCCUUAGAACUAUAAGUAAGUAAAUUUAUACUAUAAAUAUAUAUCAUAAUGUGCUAUAAAUUAUCAUCAUAUGGAGUUGUGUUGACUAUAGCUUCUAGGUUGUUUAUAUCUGGUACUUCUUUUUCAUUCUUCUUACUUUUUUUUUAAUUGAAGUCAGUUCAUUUACAAUGUUGUGUUAAUUUCUGCUGUACAGCCAAGAGAUUCAGUUUAUAUAUACAUUCUUUUUAAAAUCUUUUCCAUUAUGGUUUAUCAUAGAAUAUUGAAUUCAGUUUCCUGUGCUAUACAGUAGCACCCUGUUAUUCAUUCUAUAUAUAAUAGUUUGCAUCUGCUAACCCCAAACUCCCACUCCAUCACUCCCCCACCUCCUCUCUCUGUUGGCAACCACAAAUCUGUUCUCUAUGUGUCACGCUUCUUAUUACUGAUAUUUUUUUCUUUAACUUUUCUCUCUCUUUCUUCUUCCCUGGCAGUAGUUCAUUCAUUUUCCCCAAUAUUUUAUAUUUCUUAAAACUUUUGGAACAUUGAUUUUAAGUAAAUAAAUACUUAGUAAUACAUACAAGAAAUGUAUUUCUGUAAUACAUUAAGAUUAAAAUAAUGACAUGUGCUUAACAUGCUGUUGAAAUUUCAAGCUUAAUUUCCAAAAGAUUAAGUAAACAAAUACUAAGAAAGAUAUUGACUCACCUGUCAGUGUCAAUAUUUAUAAAAUAGCUUUCAUGUGAUCAUUAAAAGCUGGUGGUUUCAUUGGCUGGAGGAGCAUGUGAAAAUCACACCCACCUUAAACACAGGGACACAUAACCACCUGAACACCUAAGAUGAAUGUGAAAUGACUCUCUCUAGUUGGUGUUUUGAAGGGUAAAACGGCUUUUCACUUACUACUACUCUGUUCUGUCUGCUGCUAUUUUAAGCAGCAAUAAUUGCACCACCAACACCAAAACUAACAUUGUCCUCGAGAAUAUUUUAUGAAUACGGUAACACUUUGGAUGUGAACUUUUGGUCCUUAUGUUAUCUGCUCCCCUCUUCAUAUAUUUAAAAUGUCAUGUUAAUAUCUGAUAACAGUCAUAGUAAUAAUUAGAGACCAUGUCUUUUAUUAUAGUUCAAAAACACUAACCCUGGAAUGUAUUUGUAAUCUGGCUAAAGGAAAAACUCACAUGAGGAAGUCAACACAUUGAUAAGAGGAGCUUAUUGUGAAACAUUUUUGAGUGUUGCUUAGUUCCAAAACCUUGUUUUUCAGUUUCAAAAUAGAGACAGAGUUCACUGGAAAAUUUGGAGCUGAAAUAGAGCAGGCUGCAGUAGGCCCUUGAGCAAACACUGUCAGCUAUUCCUCAUGGCCAUAGUCAUUGGAGGUAGAUGUCCGUUGCUGGGUGAAUUAUUCUCAUUUCCAGUUUGCAUAUAUAGAAAUUGAGAGGACCAAAACAGUAGACAUGUCCGCAGUAGUAAAUCAGUGUCAAAAAUUGUUGAAAUUUAAACAGCAGUACUCACAAGAAGGGUUCUGAAGGAUGUUGGUUAAUUUCAUUGAGACCCUGUAUCAUGCUUGAAGGUAGAGAGACCUAUUAGAAAAGGCCACUACUUUGCAUUGCUCCACAAUUCAUUUAUCUCUUUAAAACCAAAGGGGAAAAACCACAACUUGAUCUCAUAAAACUCACAGUACCAUCCCAAACAAUAUCUUACUUGAUAGGAUGUUUGUUUAGGUUCCCAAAUAGUUGAGCAAGUUAGUGCCUGUUCUUGCCAACUUCUGAGCUUAAUAUGGAAAAACAGCAUAAAUAGGCUAUCAGGGAUAUUCAAGAGCUGAGAUUUAGUGGGGAGGAGUAAAUCACACCAAUAAACAUCUGUACAUUAUAAUGUGGAUUUUGUGUGGUUCAGAUGUGCAUUAGGCGCUAUAGCAGGUCAGAUGUAGCAGAGAGAUCAACCAGGAGCUAGGGAAGCCUUCCUGGGAAAGGUAAUGCUUUAGUUGUGCAGCUUCGGUUUCUUUGAUUAGUGGUAUUUAUUGUCUUGUUUAAAAAUACAAAUAAUACAUGAUAAUAUAAAUAAGAGAGUAAAACUCAGCUCAAAUCUCUUUACCCAAAUUCUGGUUUCAUUGCUUUCUUACUGAAUGAACCUGAUUUCUCAUAUAUAAAAACGGGGAUAAUAAUAGUAGUACUUAUCCCUUGGAGUUACUAGGACUGCUUAAGUUAGUAUAUGUAAAGGGUUUGGAAGAAUACAUGGAGCAUAAUAAGAGGUCACUAAAUAGUAGCUAUUAUUGGACAUCCAAUUCACAUGUUAUGAGGGAUUAUUUCUAGACUCUAUUCUGUUACAGUGACUGGAGUCUAGAAGUUCAUGGGGAAAUGCCAAGUCUAGCUUUAUAACUUAAGUGUGGACAAGUUCUCUCAUUUUUUUUUUCAGAAUUUUUCUUAUUCUUUUAGCAUUUUUAUGUUUUUAGAUGAAUUUCACAGUCAUUUUUUUUUCAAUUUGUAGCAAGCUAAUAGAGAUUUUUGAUUGUCAUUAUAGAGAAUAGAUCCAGUUAGGGAAAAAUUGAGUUCUUCAUAAUUUUGAAUUUUCCUUUCCACUAAAUAGGUGUAUCAUUCUGUUUAUUCAAGUGUUUCUUUGUUUUCUUUAAUAAAGACUUAUAGUUUUAUUCAUACAAGUCCUUUUCACUUUUUGAUACUGAAUAUUCUGAGCUAAGUCUUAAAGGAUAAACAGGAAUAGCCAGACAGAAAAGGAGAAAAAUUGUUUGGUAGUACCUUGUUAGCUGCCAGAAGUCAUAGUUUUGCUUGGAGCACUUCUAGUUCUAGAAAUAAUAUUCUUCAGUCAAUCCACAUAAGAUGCAAGCAGUAAACUUAACUGGGAAAAAUAUGUGCUCUUUCCUGCAAAGUAAUAGUGGGCAGGCAGCCAGUGUAAGAAAUAUUUAUGCAGCUGUUGCCUGAACUAAUCCAAGAAACUUCUGGGGACUGGCAACAACAUACAUGCUCAGCUUCUUCCGAAACUAUUUACUCAUUAAAAAAAAGAAAACAAACAAACCCAAGGUCCAAUAUGCUUUCAACCCUUGUAUAUGAACCAAGGAGUUUGAAUAUGGAUUGAUGUGUGUUUGUGGGUGUUUUGAACAGAGCAGGAACUAGGCAAUUUUGUGAAGUGGUUCCAGUUUUCUUUCAUUUGCCAUUUGAUCUGAUUUUCAGCCCAUCUCACCUCAACUUCAGAACCAUGGCCUUGAAAUAUCAUCGCUAUGGUUUAAUUUCCUACCCACAUAUUUACAUUCAGUGCCCUGUUCAAGCUAACACUAAGCAAGGGCUUCUCCCUCAGAUACCUAGUCAUGAAGAGCAGGUCUUGGUUAAUCUGUGCUUAGCCAAGUGAUAAACAGCUAUGUGGUCCUCUCCUGUAGAAUGUGCCUCAAAGCAAUUUUUAUUCAGAAUUAUCCUUCAGAUCUCAGAAUUUUAAUGAGGUUUAUGAUCCUCCUUCCUGUGACACAUUGUUCCUACUCUUUACAUCACUGAGGGUUAUAGGAUUGUAUCCUUUCCUUCUCUAAGCCCUUAACAAUAUUAUGUACAUUUGGGUAAGGGGACUCACUUCAUUCUCAGGCAUGAGUCCAACCUACAUGCCAGCUUACAACCUAACUGUUGAAAAACAUAAUAAUUAGGCCAUUGCUUUUCUCGGUCCUACCAGGCCUAUUGACCUGAGAUCUCCUAUGAAACAACCAGGAAACCAGACACUAUCCAGCACUGUUCUCAUGUUAAUUAAAUUUUUACACCUCUCCAACUUCAAAAAUCCUGGCGGUUCCAUUAAUAAAAUUGUUCCUUCUACUAUUCAACGUAGCCUUACAGGGACUGUAGGAAGAAUUACAAAAAGGUAAUUAGAAUACCACAAUUUUUAAAAAAGAUUCACUAAUUUUUUAGGCAAAAAACAAAUAAAAAAUGUCCUAAACUUAGAAGUUGCCUUCUGCUGUUCUUCAUCCCUCUCCUCCAAGUCCUCAGCCAUUAGCAGCCCAUGGACUCUUCACAAGAAGAUUGUUAAGAUAUUUUAAAGAUAAGGUUAUAUAAUCUAGUGAUCAACGUAAUCUUAACAAAAUAGAUGUUUAGAUCAAAUAAUAAUUCAACCUUCUGCUCAUCUAUUGGUUGAGAAAUUUAUAACACAAUUUCUUUGUGUGUCAGGUUGAUAUGCCAGUAUCAUCUGUAGUUAAUAGUCUUUAAUUAGUUAUCUAAUGAAAGCCUAGAGCAAGCCAUUGAAAGGGCAUAUCGGGGCAUAGAGAGUUGAAUAGAACAGAAUAUUCAUGUUUUAUAAGCUUGGAAUGUAGUAUACAGGAUAAGACAAACAUGCUUAUAACACUAAAGCAAGGCCUACUGGGGAGAAAGUCAGCUAAGACAUUUGUUGAACAUAUACUGUGAACCCAUCACUCUGUUAGGGUUGUGUUAAGUGGAACAAUAGAGGUUUCCAAUGACAUAUUAAGCCUCAGUGAUCCUGGCAUAUUCUCAGAA
rnacentral:lncRNA from 1 species